UGGGCAGUGGCUCAGUGGUAGAGCUCCCGCUUCAUACGCGGGAAGACCUAUCGCCAGCAGGCUGACCAC
rnacentral:tRNA from 1 species